GUAAACUUAAUAGGAUCUCGGCUUUCCUGUUGCCUCACCAGCGAAACAGAAACCAGACCACGAGGGGGUCUGGAGAUGGUUAACUGGCGAUGCCUCUUGGUGGGCAGGCAGCAGGGCCUCCUCGGAGACAGCACCAGGAAAUGACUUUUGCUGGAAACUGCCACUCUGGGUUCUCCUGGCACCAGGGUGACCUGGUACCAUGGUAGCCAUCCUGUGUCCCUGAAGGAAGCCAGGAUGAGGACAAAGCCAUCCCUGGAGGUCUGCAGAGUGCCAGGUGACACUGGAGAGCAGUAAACCAUCCCAUCCCUAGGGUGGGCCUGUCUUUGAACUUCUGGACUCUCCAUGCGAUACAUUUCCGUAUUAUUUAAACUGGUUUAAAGUAUUAUGCUAACUUUGUUUCUUAUAUUAUUAUUAUUAUUAUUUUAGCUGUGUAUUUUUGUCUGCCUGCUUUUAUUUUUAUAGCCACACCAGGUUGUGGGCUCAAAGAUAGAAGACACAGACAUUCAGAGUUGCCAUGUAUAUCAAUUAGGAAUUACUUUUGGCUGCUUAAACCCUAAACAACUAAGUGAAUACUUUUCUCACUUAAUGGGGAGCCUGGAGAAGGCGAUCCAGCUGAGCUCAGCUGUUGAAGGGAGUCAUUAAGAAUCAAGGUUCUUGCUAUUUCCCUGUUCUUGCCAUCCUUGAUUUAAUUUUCUUCACAUGGUCAUCAAUGGCUGCAUCACUUCCAGCCAUCACAUCUGAGUUCCAUGCUGGGGAUGAAGGAUGUAGAAAAGGAAGUUUGUGCCAUCUGAAUCUGUGUUUUUUGUCAAGAAAACAAUACCUCUCCAGAAUCCUUACCCUAAAAUUCUUUAUAUCUGUCAUUGGCCAGAAAUGCAUGACAUGGACAUCUUAGCUAAAUUUAUGGGACUUUGGCUACCCCAAACAAACUUGGGAUUUUGUUAAAAAGGAGAGAGGGUGGGAAAUAGAUACUGGGAGGGAAAGGGGGAUCUUUUGCGGUGGGCUUGGCCAGCCCAGCUCAGCAGGGCAACUGAGACAGGAAUGAGCCCAGAGGGUGUGACCUGGCUCUGAAUGCUCUGGGGCCACGUGGGCCUCUAUUUGCUGCCUUCCCUCAAUCACCCCCAGCCCCACAGAUGCCAAAGCGGUCUCUCCACAGCACCUGCUCUGUCACAUGUCACAUUACUCCCCUGUCAGAAAUCUCCCUUUGUUCAUAGGAUGUGGUCAAAAUGCCCUGGCCCCAUAUUUCAGGUCCUUCCAGGACAGGUGACAAACCACCUCUCUGGCCUGAUUUGUCCUCUGUAUUCUGCCCCUUUUGGGUGGUGCCCUUGACUUGUUCUCAUGUAGCAUCUCCCAUCCUCUCUACCUGGUGGACCCCACCACCUUUAGGGUCACCUCAUCCCCGAAGCUGACUCUCCUGCUCUGGACCUUCCCUGGGGUUCCCUCGGCGUGAUGACUUGUGCUACUUAAAUCGAGCAUUUGUUGAGUAUCAGCCACCUCAGCAUUCACACACACACCCACGUGUUUACACGCCCAUGUCUUGCACGUCAAAGAUGCUCUGUAAGUCUUCACUUCUUCUUUCCAAACCUCCCAUCUCUGGCAACCUCCAGCCAGGGCCCUUGGAAGAUCGAUGGAUUUCAAAACACUGACUUGGGAAUAUUCUUGCAGUGAUUUAAAAAGUCCAAUGUUAAUAUUGAACUGCUGUGACAAUUGAUGGUCAUUUCUGCCAAGAUGGGCAUCCUGUCUUGCCCACCAUGAUGUCCCCAGCACACAGUGAGGUACCUGGGACUCUUAGGCACUAAUAAAACAAAAACAAGCAGGAAAAAAAAACAAAAAACUCAACAACACCCACUUGUUGCAAACGUCCUAAGGAAGCUCUCCUGAACAGCUCCCCGUGGACACCACACGCCUGAAUCCUUAUCCUCCCCUGCAGCCUGGAGGCAGCUUCUCCUCUCUCAGUCCUCGUGGGGGCGUUGAGAAGCCCAAUCCCUCAAGCCCGUUUAGAGAGACCAGCCAAGGAGUCUCCUAACUGAGGUUGCAGUUCCAGGCUUGGCACAGCAGUGUCACCAGGAACACCAGUGCCCUCGUGUUCUUGCCCAGGGGCGGCUGGGAGGCCACCGUGCUUCCCACUGCACUCUCCAGGAUGGAUGCUGAGCCACAGUGGGAAGUGAAGGGUGGGAAGGAAUGGUAUUGGGUAAGGAGCCAACAGCAUGCACCUUCCUUUUGUUUGAAGAUAAGGGACAGGGGCUUGGCAAGAUUAAGUGACUUGCCAACAUCCCACAGUAGGUUAGGAGCAGAGCUGGGGUCUGUCUGUCUCUGAAACUGUCAUCUUCAUGAUGCAAGAUAGGUGUAGGUCGCAGAGCAAGUGUGUGUGUGUGUGUGUCUGGAUGAGGGAAUUCAGACUCUGGGGACCUCCAUCCUAGGGUCUGAUGAUUGUGGCUCUGCAGACACAGCCCCUCUGGAUUUGGAACUCCUUCUCCUUGAAAAUGGACUUUAUUAGGAAGGGAUGGGAUGGGAUGGGAUGGAAAAGAAGGACUAUGUGACUUAAUAUUUUAAAAUUUUAAUUUUCAGAAUAGGCACAAAUGAUAAGAAUACAGCUCAAUUAAUUUUCCUAAAGGGGACACUCUUGUGUCUAGAACCCAGUAAGAGAAACAGCACAUUACCAGAACCCCAGCAACUCUCUUCUUGACUAUUUGUAGUCCUUAUAUCCCCCUUGCCAGGGCUGACCAUCAUCCUGAGCAAAACAAUUUGGGCUGUUUGGGUACUUUGUAUAGAUGGAACUAUAUACUAUGUAUUCACGUGUGUGAAUUCUUUGUUCAAAAUUAUACUGGUGAGGAUUAUCCACGUCAUCAUGUAAGCUGGGGUUCUUAUUGUUAUGCUGCAUAGUAUUCUACUUUACGACUAUACUUCAAUUUAUCUAUUUUACUUUGAUGGGUAUUUUGAAAAACUAGUUUUUAGCUAUGACGUAUGGUGCAGCUAUAAGCAUUUUGAACAUGUACAAAGUCCUGUUGAAUGUAUAUUGGGAGUGGAAUCUAUGGGCAACAGGAAGGUGUUUAUUUAGUUUUAGUGGGUAGGGGCAAACAUUUUCAAAGGAGUAGUAUUAAUUUCCACUCCCAUCAAGUUGCUCUGUCUUCUUGCCAACACUUGGUAUUAUCAGUGUUUUUAACUCUUUUGUUGAGUAGGUAUAUAAUGGUAUCUCAUUAUGGCUUAAUUUUCAUUUGUGUUUCCUAAUUGACUAAUAAAACUGAGCACCCUUUCAUGUA